rnacentral:rRNA from 1 species
UUUGCCCUACGGGGGGCAGCAGUGGGGAAUAUUGCACAAUGGGGGAAACCCUGAUGCAGCGACACCGCGUGAGUGAAGAAGUAUUUCGGUAUGUAAAGCUCUAUCAGCAGGGAAGAAAAUGACGGUACCUGACUAAGAAGCCCCGGCUAACUACGUGCCAGUAGCCGCGGUAAUACGUAGGAGGCAAGCGUUAUCCGGAUUUACUGGGUGUAAAGGGAGCGUAGACGGCAGCGCAAGUCUGAAGUGAAAUCCCAUGGCUUAACCAUGGAACUGCUUUGGAAACUGUGCAGCUGGAGUGCAGGAGG